rnacentral:lncRNA from 1 species
UUAGAGAAGCGUGGCGACGACAGUUGCAUCGGCAGUAAGCAAGCAAGCAAGCAGUGCAGGCCAUACCGUGGAUGAGUCCGGUGAGGUGGAGCCAGUCCUCGUCGGGGUAGUCCUUGCGGAUGGCCUCGGCGGUCUGCAGCAGGUGCUCGAUCUGGGGCAUGUCCAGGUCCGGGUCGCUGUCGUCGAUGAACUCGUUCAGCAGCUCGAUGCACUCCCAGAUGCCCAUCUCCGUCUUGUCCAGCCGCCCGUACUCCGCCCGCAUCCGC